rnacentral:rRNA from 1 species
GAUUAAGUUAUUAAGGGCGUACGGUGGAUGCCUUGGCACUAGAAGCCGAUGAAGGACGUUACUAACGACGAUAUGCUUUGGGGAGCUGUAAGUAAGCUUUGAUCCAGAGAUUUCCGAAUGGGGAAACCCAGCAUGAGUUAUGUCAUGUUAUCGAUAUGUGAAUACAUAGCAUAUCAGAAGGCACACCCGGAGAACUGAAACAUCUUAGUACCCGGAGGAAGAGAAAGAAAAUUCGAUUCCCUUAGUAGCGGCGAGCGAAACGGGAAGAGCCCAAACCAACAAGCUUGCUUGUUGGGGUUGUAGGACACUCUGUACGGAGUUACAAAGGACGACAUUAGACGAAUCAUCUGGAAAGAUGAAUCAAAGAAGGUAAUAAUCCUGUAGUCGAAAAUGUUGUCUCUCUUGAGUGGAUCCUGAGUACGACGGAGCACGUGAAAUUCCGUCGGAAUCUGGGAGGACCAUCUCCUAAGGCUAAAUACUCUCUAGUGACCGAUAGUGAACCAGUACCGUGAGGGAAAGGUGAAAAGCACCCCGGAAGG